rnacentral:misc_RNA from 1 species
AGCGACACAGGUUCCUGAAGAGAAAUCAGUCAAGCAAGUAGAGGACUCUGAGCCAAAGAUAGCUGUAAUCAUGGCUGGAGAUAAGAAUCCCACAUUCUUGGCUAAGCCUAAGCCUAAGCCUGUCUCUUGCAUUUGCCACAAUGAAGAACAAGUUUAAGCUGAUCUCUAGAAUCUCAGGACACCCUUCUCUUUCUUUCUUUCUUUCUUUCUUUCUUUUCAUAAUCAUCACUUUACGUUCUUGACUACGGAAAUAUGUAAAGUGAUGAUUAUGAAGAGGAUGAAAUUUUUGUUGGGGG